GACGAACGCUGGCGGCGUGCCUAAUACAUGCAAGUCGAGCGAGACUCUUCGGAGUCUAGCGGCGGACGGGUGAGUAACACGUGGGCAACCUGCCUGUAAGACUGGGAUAACACCGGGAAACCGGUGCUAAUACCGGAUAAUCCUUUUCCUCUCAUGAGGAAAAGCUGAAAGUCGGUUUCGGCUGACACUUACAGAUGGGCCCGCGGCGCAUUAGCUAGUUGGUGAGGUAACGGCUCACCAAGGCGACGAUGCGUAGCCGACCUGAGAGGGUGAUCGGCCACACUGGGACUGAGACACGGCCCAGACUCCUACGGGAGGCAGCAGUAGGGAAUCUUCCACAAUGGACGAAAGUCUGAUGGAGCAACGCCGUGUGAGCGAUGAAGGCCUUCGGGUCGUAAAGCUCUGUUGUUAGGGAAGAACAAGUACCGGAGUAACUGCCGGUACCUUGACGGUACCUAACCAGAAAGCCACGGCUAACUACGUGCCAGCAGCCGCCGUAA
rnacentral:rRNA from 1 species